rnacentral:rRNA from 1 species
GAUGAACGCUGGCGGCGUGCCUAAUACAUGCAAGUCGAACGAAACUUCUUUAUCACCGAGUGAUUGCACUCACCGAUAAAGAGUUGAGUGGCGAACGGGUGAGUAACACGUGGGCAACCUGCCCAAAAGAGGGGGAUAACACUUGGAAACAGGUGCUAAUACCGCAUAACCAUAGUUACCGCAUGGUAACUAUGUAAAAGGUGGCUAUACUACCGCUUUUGGAUGGGCCCGCGGCGCAUUAGCUAGUUGGUAGGGUAAAGGCUUACCAAGGCAAUGAUGCGUAGCCGAAUUGAGAGGUUGAUCGGCCACAUUGGGACUGAGACACGGCCCAAACUCCUACGGGAGGCAGCAGUAGGGAAUCUUCCACAAUGGGCGAAAGCCUGAUUGAGCAACGCCGCGUGGGUGAAGAAGGUCUUCGGAUCGUAAAACCCUGUUGUUAGAGAAGAAAGUGCGUGAGAGUAACUGUUCACGUUUCGACGGUAUCUAACCAGAAAGCCACGGCUAACUACGUG